CAGUCGCCGCGGUAAUACGAAGGGGGCUGGCGUUGUUCGGAUUUACUGGGCGUAAAGCGCACGUAGGCGGACUUUUAAGUCAGGGGUGAAAUCCCGGGGCUCAACCCCGGAACUGCCUUUGAUACUGGGAGUCUUGAGUUCGAGAGAGGUGAGUGGAAUUGCGAGUGUAGAGGUGAAAUUCGUAGAUAUUCGCAGGAACACCAGUGGCGAAGGCGGCUCACUGGCACGAUACUGACGCUGAGGUGCGAAAGCGUGGGGAGCAAACAGGAUUAGAGACCCGAGUAGUCCCUGUCUCUUAUAC
rnacentral:rRNA from 1 species